AGAAUUUUUCUCAAUGGGGGAAACCCUGAAGGAGCGACGCCGCGUGAAGGAUGACGGUUUUCGGAUUGUAAACUUCUGUCAUUAGAGAACAAUGCAUAAAGGAUUAAUACCGCUUUAUGUUGGUAGUAUCUGAAGAGGAAGAGACGGCUAACUCUGUGCCAGCAGCCGCGGUAAGACAGAGGUCUCAAGCGUUGUUCGGAUUCAUUGGGCGUAAAGGGUGCGUAGGCGGUAGGGUAAGUUGGAUGUGAAAUCUCGGGGCUCAACCCCGAAACUGCAUUCAAUACUGCUCUGCUCGAGUACUGGAGAGGAGAUUGGAAUUCAUGGUGUAGCAGUGAAAUGCGUAGAUAUCAUGAGGAAGACCAGUGGCGAAGGCGGAUCUCUGGACAGUUACUGACGCUGAGGCACGAAGGCUAGGGGAGCAAA
rnacentral:rRNA from 1 species